rnacentral:misc_RNA from 1 species
UCCCCGUUGCCGAGGCAGUCUGAAUAGAAAAAUUCAACUAGUCAUAAGGGUUGCGCUCGUUAAUGGACUUAACCAAACAUCUCACGACACGAGCUGACGACGGCCAUGCAUCACCUGUCACUGCGCUCCAAAAGGCACAUCCGCCUUUCAGCGGACUUCGCAGGAUGUCAAACCCUGGUAAGGUUCUUCGCUUAGCGUCGAAUUAAAGAACACGCUCCACCGCUUGUGCGGGUCCCCGUCAAUUCCUUUGAGUUUUAAUCUUGCGACCGUACUCCCCAGGCGGGAUGCUUAACGCGUUAGCUUCGCUACGAGAAGGGUCGAUACUCCUCACAGCCAGCAUCCAUCGUUUACGGCGUGGACUAC